AUACGGAGGAUGCGAGCGUUAUCCGGAUUUAUUGGGUUUAAAGGGAGCGUAGGCGGGAGCUUAAGUCAGCGGUUAAAUGGUGCGGCUCAACCGUGCCCUGCCGUUGAAACUGGGUUUCUUGAGAGUGCAAGAGGCGGAUGGAAUUCAUGGUGUAGCGGUGAAAUGCUUAGAUAUCAUGAAGAACUCCGAUUGCGAAGGCAGUCCGCUGGGGCACGUCUGACGCUGAUGCUCGAAGGUGCGGGAAUCAAACAGGAUUAGAUACCCUGGUAGUCCACACAGUAAACGAUGGACACUCGUGGUCGGCGACACACUGCCGGUCACCAAGCGAAAGCGAUAAGUGUCCCACCUGGGGAGUACGCCGGCAACGGUGAAACUCAAAUGAAUUGACGGGG
rnacentral:rRNA from 1 species